rnacentral:rRNA from 1 species
AUUGAACGCUGGCGGCAGGCCUAACACAUGCAAGUCGAGCGAGCGGCGGACGGGUGAGUAAUGUCUGGGGAACUGCCCGAUGGAGGGGGAUAACUACUGGAAACGGUAGCUAAUACCGCAUACCAUCGGAUGUGCCCAGAUGGGAUUAGCUAGUAGGUGGGGUAACGGCUCACCUAGGCGACGAUCCCUAGCUGGUCUGAGAGGAUGACCAGCCACACUGGAACUGAGACACGGCCCAGACUCCUACGGGAGGCAGCAGUGGGGAAUAUUGCACAAUGGGCGCAAGCCUGAUGCAGCCAUGCCGCGUGUAUGAAGAAGGCCUUCGGGUUGUAAAGCACUUUCAGUCGGGAGGCGUUACCGACAGAAGAAGCACCGGCUAACUCCGUGCCAGCAGCCGCGGUAAUAC